AUUGAACGCUGGCGGCAGGCCUAACACAUGCAAGUCGAGCGGAUGAGUGGAGCUUGCUCCAUGAUUCAGCGGCGGACGGGUGAGUAAUGCCUAGGAAUCUGCCUGGUAGUGGGGGACAACGUUUCGAAAGGAACGCUAAUACCGCAUACGUCCUACGGGAGAAAGCAGGGGACCUUCGGGCUUUGCGCUAUCAGAUGAGCCUAGGUCGGAUUAGCUAGUUGGUGAGGUAAAGGCUCACCAAGGCGACGAUCCGUAACUGGUCUGAGAGGAUGAUCAGUCACACUGGAACUGAGACACGGUCCAGACUCCUACGGGAGGCAGCAGUGGGGAAUAUUGGACAAUGGGCGAAAGCCUGAUCCAGCCAUGCCGCGUGUGUGAAGAGGGUCUUCGGAUUGUAAAGCACUUUAAGUUGGGAGGAAGGGCAGUAAGUUAAUACCUUGCUGUUUUGACGUUACCGACAGAAUAAGCACCGGCUAACUUCGUGCCAGCAGCCGCAGUAAAAC
rnacentral:rRNA from 1 species